rnacentral:rRNA from 1 species
UACGUAGGGGGCAAGCGUUGUCCGGAUUUAUUGGGCGUAAAGAGCGUGUAGGCGGCCAGGUAGGUCUGCUGUGAAAACUCGAGGCUUAACCUCGAGCUGUCGGCGGAAACCAUCUGGCUAGAGUCCGGAAGAGGAGAAUGGAAUUCCCGGUGUAGCGGUGAAAUGCGCAGAUAUCGGGAAGAACACCCGUGGCGAAGGCGGUUCUCUGGGACGGUACUGACGCUGAGGAGCGAAAAGCGUGGGUAGCAAACAGG